GACGAACGCUGGCGGCGUGCUUAACACAUGCAAGUCGAACGAUGAAGCCUAGCUUGCUAGGUCGAUUAGUGGCGAACGGGUGAGUAACACGUGACUAACCUGCCCCUUUCUCUGGGAUAACGCUCCGAAAGGAGUGCUAAUACCGGAUACUCACACCGAGGCACAUGCCUUGGUGUGGAAAGUUUUUCGGAAAGGGAUGGAGUCGCGGCCUAUCAGCUUGUUGGUGAGGUAACGGCUAACCAAGGCGACGACGGGUAGCCGGCCUGGGAGGGGGACCGGCCACAAUGGGACUGAGACACGGCCCAGACUCCUACGGGAGGCAGCAGUGGGGAAUAUUGCACAAUGGGCGCAAGCCUGAUGCAGCGACGCCGCGUGAGGGAUGAAGGUCUUCGGAUUGUAAACCUCUUUCAGUAGGGACGAAGCGAAAGUGACGGUACCUAAAGAAGAAGCACCGGCUAACUACGUGCCAGCCGCCGCAGUAA
rnacentral:rRNA from 1 species